UACGGGGGGGCAAGCGUUGUUCGGAAUUACUGGGCGUAAAGGGCUCGUAGGCGGCCAACUAAGUCAGACGUGAAAUCCCUCGGCUCAACCGGGGAACUGCAUCUGAUACUGGAUGGCUUGAGAUUGGGAGAGGGAUGCGGAAUUCCAGGUGUAGCGGUGAAAUUCGUAGAUAUCGGGAGGAACACCAGUGGCGAAGGCGGCUCACUGGACCGGAACUGACGCUGAGGCGCGAAAGCGUGGGGAGCAAACAGG
rnacentral:rRNA from 1 species